ACUAGCUCUUGUGAUCCCUCCUCUCUCUUUUCAGCUGAAGUCUAGGAGCUCAGCCCAGUGCUUUGCUGUGGAUCAUUGCAUCUGCUUCCAUCAGUUACUGGAUGUAGGUUCUAUGGUGAUCAUUAGGGUACUCACUAAUCUGAUUGUAGGGGGAGAUACUCUACUCAGAGAUGAAGUCUGAUCAACGCAUUGCAGAGGAAAAAGCAGCAACAGGCAAACAUUGGAAUCCUCUCUGAACAGCAUUACUAUUUUAAUAUUUGCACAAAGCAUUCAGAACCCAUUUCACAAUGUAUGCUCAUUACAGUUUUUUGAAACGUCGAAGGGACAAAACCGUGAUGUUUUAUGCUUUCCCUUGGUGUGAGAAGAGCUCAGACUCUGGCAAGGAAAACAGUUAAAAGAGCCCCACAAGAGCCUGUCCUUUAUCAAAGGCAUUGUUUAUAUACAGCAUAAAGACAAACUUUAUACAAUAUGUCAAACUUCCAAUGCAUAAUUAAUAAUAAAUGGACAUCAGCUUGAUAUCUGAAAACACAGCUGUCUGUCUUGGACAUUCUCUUCAAGUAUGUAAAGAUCUGUGCUCAAAGUGCACCUCAGGCACGCACAAGGCCUCUCCCUAACUAGUCAGCUACAGAGCAUGGGGCCCUGGUGACUCCAGGAAAAAACACUAUGUCUCUCUGGAACUUAACUUUGCCUAAUAACCCUUUAUACAUGUCCUUUCUAGGACCCAUUACAACUAAAAACGACAGUGGUCCUUCCUGCUUAUGCUAACAAAUGAUUUGAGAAAUUUUAAUAUUAAUCAUGUUCCUAAAAUCUCUUCAUAUCCACAGGGUCAAGCUAUUGUGGAACAUCACCAUAAACUACUUUAUUGGCAAAUUAAAAACAAACAAACAAAGAAACAAAUAAAUGGGGGUAUUUACAACCACCUAAAUCCUCACAUAGUAUUAACUAUUUAGCUAUAUUAACUUUAAUUUUUUGAAAUAAUUUCAUUUUAAAAGAUAAUAGUUUUUCUUCUGCCCAAAAGUGUUUGCUGCAAAGAAGACACAACCCAAAGUAAAAUGCUAAAUAAAAAGAAAGAACCUGAUAUUCUAACAUCAUGGUGAGGUUAUGCUUGAGUCUUUUUAGAAUAUAAACAAAGUCCCAGAUGGCUCCUGACCAGGA